AACCUAAGCUUUGACAGAAGAAACAGGGCACAAACACACAUGAAACAACAGGGAACAAUGCAAGGCAAAAUAUAAUUAAGUGCUAAAUUGUGUGGUACAGGACUAUAAACCCUCCAAAUGUUUGCUGAAAUGGAAUGACUGGCCUGGCUCUGCCACUAAAGUCACACUCACCAGACAUUUCCAUUCUGUAUUAAGUACCUCCAGUGCAAAGGGCUGGAAAUUGCCCCUGUCAACAAGAAACGGAUAUCCUUGGUGGUUCCGAUGCCUUGUAGUUCAUUUAAAGGAGCUGGACUUGUGGUUGAUAAGGUAGGCAUUAUUAUCCAAACUAUAUUACACGCACAGUCAUAGAUAUCAGAGAUGAGACUUGAACUCGGUCAUUCUAGCUCCUAGCCACUAAACCAGCUACCGCUCUUCUUUGGCAGAAGGGGAUCCUUGCCUUCCUUCUAGGACACCGAAGAAACCCACCUGCCUCAUGGUGUGUCGUCAUGACCAUUAACACACAUUAAAUGCACCCUAGGUCAAGUCGCAGUGGGGGGAAGGGGGGAGCUUAAGACCUUUUGGAAAUGAAGAAGUGUCAGAUGCUUCCUACCUUUUAGGAGCUUACAAUGUAGUAGGGGGAGGGCGAGCUAAUGUAAAAGCCAUGAGUAAGACCAUGGAGUCUGUAUUGGCAAUAGUGGGAAAGGGAUUUAUUUGGGCAGCUAGGAUGAGGUCUAUUUCCCAUCUUCCCCGGACCAACUAGAGUAGAGAGCCUGGUAAACCAACCCCAGCCUCUCCUCUGAGGAUGUUCACCUCCAGCUGUGCACAAGUCAAGGAUUGUGUGACUCAAGGUUGCUUGCCCAACUGUGGCCAGUGGCUAAGAGCUAGCUUUUGACCUCAAGUUCCCGGCUUUUGAAAUCUCUCUGGCUAUGGUUGCAGGUGAUGCUCCCCCACAGCCUUUUUUAGCUUUCAUGGUGGCUGAGUGGAUGAACUUGGAGUCCAGAAUUUGAGUUGGAAUCCCAGAACACCCUCCCUGAACCUUGCUUUCCUCAUCGCUCUGCAAGAUACCUUCUAGCUGUCAGUUUCAAGAAUCUACCAUUGCUUCGGAGCUCUCCUCCUGACUUUCAGGCUUUGGAGAGUGGUCCCCAAGCGCUCCGGGCCAAGUUCGCGGCGCGACGACGGCCAUGGCGGCAGCGGCGUCCUGAGCUCGUCGCGUCCGGGCCUCCAGCGGCAGCGGCGGCAGGGACAGGCGGGCGCAGCGGGGACAGCGGGCGCGGGGGCCGGGGCGACGGCGGUGGCGGCGGGGACAGCGGCGGCGGUGGGGACGGC
rnacentral:lncRNA from 1 species